GCCCUGUCCUCUGGGUGAGCCUCAGCUCUCGGGGACAGAGAGCGGCAGUAGAGAGCGUCUCUGGAAGAAGAGGGGCUCCUUUCUGGAGGUUGGUCCAGCACCCAGGGUCCCAUUCUGACUUUCCACCCGGGGCCUGGGGGUCCGAUUCCCAUAGGAGCGGGGGCUGAGCUCUGCCCUCCGUCCCCACCACCGCUCCUCCUCUGGUGUCCAGGAAUCACACCCACAGCACGCUGCGGCCCUUCUGCGUCCAUCUUUGACCCCUGCCAUAAGUAUUCCCUAUCAGUGCUUGUCCCUGGCUGCGUCCUCUGCCCAACUCGGAGUGCCACUCCUUGCUCCGGACCUGAACCCUGCUCGGUGCUUGGCCACGGUAGGUCUCGCACCUCGGACCUCUCCUUAUUCUACCUGUAUCUGAGGUCAUGUCUCAGGGCAGUCUCGCACGAGCCUGCUGACACCGACCCCUCCUCUGCCCGAGUUUCCAUUGCUCCUCGGCUUGACCAUCAGCCAUCCUCCGGCCUUCACGACAGCUCCCAUGCUGCUAAGUGAGACGCAGCCUGAUGUUAGGAAUCCCUUCACCCUCGGCAGCCUGAGCAUCUGUAUCUUCUUCUGAGACUCACCUAACCUUAAACUUUAACCAUUUUUUGCAAGAGUCUUGCGCGCUCCUCCUGCCUAUGUGAUAGAAUAUCGUGCACACAUAUUGCACGGAUUUCCUCCACACUGUUCCUUUCCUCUGGCCUCUGACAGCCAGCACACACGGAAUGCUGUGUGGCAGGAAGUGCAAUCCAGCUCUGUCCCCCAAGGAGCUCACUCUGGCCUCGCCCACCUGGAGGCAGUUACUCUUUAGGUGGCUCUCAUUGUCACUGUCACCCUUCACUGAGAAGUGCGGGUUUGCGGUCCCGCAUGGUACCUUCACGUCCGUGUGCAACACGGAAUGUGGUCG
rnacentral:lncRNA from 1 species